UUGAGUUAUCUCUCUUAACUAGGGCUAAUUUACCAUUUAUUUUUUAUUUUUUAUUUUUAUUUUUGGUUUAGUGCUUCAUUUUUUUAUCUAAAGAAAAAUGCUAUUCCUUUUCUUUUGCUUAAAAUUGAAGUGAAGAACCCUCCCAUUUUUUUUUAUCUUGACUUAAUAUGCUUUGAUUAUAGAACUGAAACCAAAUGUUGAAAACAAUUGUUGUUGUAUCCUUUCCUUGCACUAGUGAAAUAAACAUAAAACAUAUAAGUUGAAAAAAAG
rnacentral:lncRNA from 1 species